AAAACAGGAGGAGGCAGGUUGGGCGGGCUGGAGGGCCGUGUGUUGGACGUCUUGAGCCGCACCGGCCCAGGCUACGCGCCGGUCGAUUUUUUUGCUGAUGACGACGAGCGGGAAAGCUCCAGCGAGAGGAGGAGGCCGCAGCCGCCCGCGUGCCUCUCCCGACAGCCCCACCUUAAGUGUCUGUUGGCACAGAGCCGGGGACGAGCAGCACUGCACGUAAAGCACUUUAAAAGCAAUUGCAAUGCGAAGCCUUCAGAACAAAGCACUGCAUGUUCCUACCUCUUAAACAGAAAAAAUGUAUUUCACGUAGUCACCUGCAAUGUAACAGAACUAGUCCCUGCCAUAAUGUGACUGUGCAAGACGAAACUAUAUUGUGUUUGACUAUUCAUACCACUUGUAAAUGCAGCUUCUGUAGCGUUCAAGUUGUCGUGUAGAAAUUAAUACUGGUGCACCAUUUUGUAAUGCCGUGGUGUUGCUCUAUUUAUCGAAAUGUAAGGUAUACUGCCUUGAGUUUGUUGCCGGGAAUAUAUUCCCAUGUUUCCACCUAUCUAUGAUAAUGAAUCAGUGAAUGUUCAUUAAACACAGGACAAAACCAA
rnacentral:lncRNA from 1 species